UCAACCUGGGAACUGCAUCUGAUACUGGCAAGCUUGAGUCUCGUAGAGGGGGGUAGAAUUCCAGGUGUAGCGGUGAAAUGCGUAGAGAUCUGGAGGAAUACCGGUGGCGAAGGCGGCCCCCUGGACGAAGACUGACGCUCAGGUGCGAAAGCGUGGGGAGCAAACAGGAUUAGAUACCCUGGUAGUCCACGCCGUAAACGAUGUCGACUUGGAGGUUGUGCCCUUGAGGCGUGGCUUCCGGAGCUAACGCGUUAAGUCGACCGCCUGGGGAGUACGGCCGCAAGGUUAAAACUCAAAUGAAUUGACGGGGGCCCGCACAAGCGGUGGAGCAUGUGGUUUAAUUCGAUGCAACGCGAAGAACCUUACCUGGUCUUGACAUCCACAGAACUUUCCAGAGAUGGAUUGGUGCCUUCGGGAACUGUGAGACAGGUGCUGCAUGGCUGUCGUCAGCUCGUGUUGUGAAAUGUUGGGUUAAGUCCCGCAACGAGCGCAACCCUUAUCCUUUGUUGCCAGCGGUCCGGCCGGGAACUCAAAGGAGACUGCCAGUGAUAAACUGGAGGAAGGUGGGGAUGACGUCAAGUCAUCAUGGCCCUUACGACCAGGGCUACACACGUGCUACAAUGGCGCAUACAAAGAGAAGCGACCUCGCGAGAGCAAGCGGACCUCAUAAAGUGCGUCGUAGUCCGGAUUGGAGUCUGCAACUCGACUCCAUGAAGUCGGAAUCGCUAGUAAUCGUGGAUCAGAAUGCCACGGUGAAUACGUUCCCGGGCCUUGUACACACCGCCCGUCACACCAUGGGAGUGGGUUGCAAAAGAAGUAGGUAGCUUAACCUUCGGGAGGGCGCUUACCACUUUGUGAUUCAUGACUGGGGUGAAGUCGUAACAAGGUAACCGUAGGGGAACCUGCGGUUGGAUCACCUCCUUACCUUAAAGAAGCGUACUUUGCAGUGCUCACACAGAUUGUCUGAUGAAAAUGAGCAGUAAAACCUCUACAGGCUUGUAGCUCAGGUGGUUAGAGCGCACCCCUGAUAAGGGUGAGGUCGGUGGUUCAAGUCCACUCAGGCCUACCAAAUUUGCACGGCAAAUUUGAAGAGGUUUUAACUACAUGUUAUGGGGCUAUAGCUCAGCUGGGAGAGCGCCUGCUUUGCACGCAGGAGGUCUGCGGUUCGAUCCCGCAUAGCUCCACCAUCUCUGUAGUGAUUAAAUAAAAAAUACUUCAGAGUGUACCUGCAAAGGUUCACUGCGAAGUUUUGCUCUUUAAAAAUCUGGAUCAAGCUGAAAAUUGAAACACUGAACAACGAAAGUUGUUCGUGAGUCUCUCAAAUUUUCGCAACACGAUGAUGAAUCGUAAGAAACAUCUUCGGGUUGUGAGGUUAAGCGACUAAGCGUACACGGUGGAUGCCCUGGCAGUCAGAGGCGAUGAAGGACGUGCUAAUCUGCGAUAAGCGUCGGUAAGGUGAUAUGAACCGUUAUAACCGGCGAUUUCCGAAUGGGGAAACCCAGUGUGUUUCGUCACACUAUCAUUAACUGAAUCCAUAGGUUAAUGAGGCGAACCGGGGGAACUGAAACAUCUAAGUACCCCGAGGAAAAGAAAUCAACCGAGAUUCCCCCAG
rnacentral:rRNA from 1 species